GCCAAAAGUGAUGAAUUCAUUUUUCUUGGAUAUUCCACUAGUUAUAAAACUUAUAGUGUUUAACGAAAGAACCCUAGUAGUAGAGAAGUCUAUAUAUGUCAUAUUUUAUUACUCUAACUCUCUUUCUAGAAAGGAUUUUACUACUCUUGAUUGUGUAAAAAUUUAUCAAGUUGAUCCUCGUAGAGCAUCACAUGAAGAACAAGAAUUAGCUGAGAUAGUUCAAGAACUCAAACUUAAUGACUUUCAAGAACCAAUUCAAGUGGAUAAG
rnacentral:lncRNA from 1 species